rnacentral:rRNA from 1 species
CGGCGAGUGAAGCGGGAACGGCUCAAAUUUGAAAUCUCCGUUGUUUCAACGGCGAAUUGUAGUUUCGAGAAGCACUUUCUAGGCGGAUCUUCGUCGUCUAAGUUGCUUGGAACAGCACGUCAUAGAGGGUGACAACCCCGUCUAGGACGAAGGAGGCCGCUGACGAUGUGUUUUCGAAGAGUCGGGUUGUUUGGGAAUGCAGCCCAAAAUGGGUGGUAAACUCCAUCUAAAGCUAAAUAUAGGCACGAGACCGAUAGCGAACAAGUACCGUGAGGGAAAGAUGAAAAGAACUUUGAAAAGAGAGUUAAAAAGUACGUGAAACCGUUAAAAGGGAAACGAAUGGAGUUAGCAAUGCACCCUGCAAGAUUCAGCCGGCAGGUGGUGCGGACGGGCGGUUGGCGGAUCUGCAUGGACCGCCGCCGUUCGGCUCGCGCUCCCCGCCGUCGCACUUCUUGCGAGUGCGCGUCAACGUCGGUUCGGCGCCGGUGUCAAAAGCUGGCGGGAAGGUAGGUCGUGGAUUUCGGUCCGUGACUGUUAUAGCCCGUCUUCUGAUGACCGGAGCCGGACCGAGGCGUCGCAGCGCAUGCCUCUUUUGGCUAGGGUCCUUCGCGGCCGAUCGGUUGUCGACUGUGGUGGACUGCUCGCAGUGCACCCGAACUGCUGCCGGUCGCUGGCGAGGUGACUUCGUACAAUGCGCUCAGGACGUUGGCGGUCAUAUGGCUUCAUCCGACCCGUCUUGAAACACGGACCAAGGAGUCUAGCCUGUGCGCGAGUCUUUGGGUGAAAGAAACCCCCGGGCGCAAUGAAAGUGAAAGCGGUUUCGGCCGCCGAGGUGAGAACCCUUCUCUCGUGGAGGGGCGCAUCAUUGACCGAUCUAUUCUACUCUUAGGAAGAUUGAGUAAGAG